UAUAGGAUUUCGAAAUGUUUGACCAGACAAUAUUAAUCAGUUUGUUAAUUAGUGUAAGCUUGCCCCUUAAAAACUAUCUUUGUCAAACUAGCUUGCUAGCUAACGUAUCUAUCUAGCUAACAAGAGAUGCUCCUCAAUAGAGUAAUCUAUCGAAUAGGAUGACCUUGUGUGAUUGACGUAUCAAUAUCGAAAUUGUGGUAAAUAUGGAAGGUACAUAUUACGGUUCUGGUUAAUUCUGUUUGUAGCAAACUAACUUUAUUGAAUAAAAAGUGUUGUGCUUGACCGGGUUCGCUAGCUAAUAUUAACGAUAUGCUGUCCCUGCAGCAAUGAGCAGAAAACGAACACGUGAAGUCACUCGACUCGAGCAGCGGGAGCGAGCAACAGCACACCGUUGACCUCCUCACCAAACCUAGAGUGUGUUAAGAAGGUAACCGUUCCCAGCUGUGCACCCUCCCUUUGUGCAGACCAUGCACGAUACGAGGGCACUGGGUGAGGAACACCAAAGGAGUUAUAUUGAGAUGUGGCCGCCCUGGAAGCUUUCAAGAAUGGGAAGUCCAUGAAAGCGGCAUUUGAUGCUGUUGGGGUGGAUCGCAACACGGUGGCUGUUGUGGCUGUGCAUUAACAUUUCAUGCCUCACAUAAUUAAUAACUUGUCUACAGCACGUUUGUUGUUUGCUGUUUGCUGUUUUUUUUUCUCACACCCUAUCAAUGCUCUGCGCAAUGUUCAGCAAGUGCUGAAUUACAAAUAAAAGGGUUUUCAUCUGUAUCCUGUUGUAUUUACUGUCAGAGCACUCAUUUGUUUUAACAAGUUCAUAAUGUCUUAUCUUAUAAUAAUCUUAUAUCUGUUCAUAACAACACUACCCUUUUGUCACUUUACUUAAAGCUGACAAAGUCCACUUAUAGAAUCUUAUAUCUGUUCAUAACAACACUACCCUUUUGUCACUUUACUUAAAGCUGACAAAGUCCACUUAUAGAAUCAUAUGGCAGUUUAUAAUAUUCUAUGUCUGUA